rnacentral:sRNA from 12 species
UAUGAUUAGCUAUUUAUAGCUAGGAUUGUAUAGAGGGUAGUGGCAGUCGCCCCAACUCCGACAUGUGGGUAAAAUCUUUGAUUUUAUUCACAAGUAAGGUGAGAAACAGCAAUUGUGUUGGAAACUUUAAUUUUGUUAAGAAAUUAAGGAACUGU